GUAUGCUUAAGGGUGGCGCAAUCGGCUAGCGCGUUCGGUUGUUAACCGAAAGGUUGGUGGUUCGAGCUCACUAGGGGACG